UGUUAUUUCUCUUAUCAUUAUUAUUAUUGGUGGUAGCAGUAGUGGUUUUGUAUUAUACCUUAGUUACUGGACUGUUCUUAUCUCAACCCGUGGGAUUUACAUUCUUUCGUUUC